AUAUAUUUAAAAGCGUAGCCUUACCAAACGAUCGAAAAAGGCAAAGGAGAAAAAGAAAGAAAGCGAUUGGUUUGGUGGCAGCAGUAGCUCAGCUUCCCGUCAUCAGAGCCAUCGUCGUGUGGAAGCUGACAAGGAGCUUCCCAAACUUUCUGAAUUCUUUUUUAUAUAUAAUUCCUCUGUUAUUUCAUUGUCUAAGAGCAGGAAGCAACCCUAGUUCAGCUUCGUUAAAAAUGGAUGCUGUUAUGGACAAAUUUCAUGUUGAAAACGACUCCGUUUUGGCUGACUCUGCUCUGUCCCAGAAGCUCAUUAUCGAUACUGACCCUGGGAUCGAUGAUAGCAUGGCAAUCUUAAUGGCAUUUCAAUCUCCUGAGUUAGAGAUCUUAGGCUUGACAACAGUAUUUGGUAAUGUUACCACAAAAAAUGCCACGCGUAAUGCUUUGCUUCUGUGUGAGAUCGCAGGGUGUCCGGGUGUUCCUGUGGCAGAAGGCAGCCCCGAGCCUCUAAAGGGAGGAGAGCCACGUGUUGCGGACUUUGUUCAUGGUUCUGAUGGACUGGGAAAUAUUUUCCUACCUUCUCCAACAGUAAAGAAAUUUGAAAAGACUGCUGCUGAAUUUUUGGUUGACAAGGUCUCUGAAUACCCUGGUGAAGUAUCUGUCCUUGCACUAGGACCACUGACUAACUUGGCUCUGGCAAUAAAAAGGGACUCCUCCUUUGCAAGCAAGGUGAAAAGGAUAGUUGUACUCGGAGGUGCUUUCUUUGCACUUGGAAAUGUAAAUCCUGCUGCUGAAGCAAAUAUUUAUGGAGACCCAGAAGCAGCUGAUGUGGUCUUCACAUCUGGAGCAAACAUUGCUGUAAUUGGAAUAAAUAUCACAACCCAAGUUAAACUUACAGAUGAUGACCUUCUUGAAUUGAGGCAAUCAAAAGGGAAGCAUGCUCAAAUAUUAUGUGAUAUGUGCAAAUUCUACAGAGACUGGCAUGUGAAGUCUGAUGGUGUAUAUGUGAAAUGCUCCUGGAUUUGUUGUUCCAGGAAUUUUUCUUCACGACCCUGUGAGUUUUGUGGCUCUGGUUCGCCCUGAUCUCUUCAGCUUCAAGAAGGGGGUUGUGAGAGUCGAAACACAGGGCAUCUCCGUGGGACAUACACUAAUGGACCAAGGACUAAAACUGUGGAAUACAAGCAACCCUUGGACAGGAUAUUCCCCUAUAGAAGUUGCCUGGACAGUGAAUGUGGAUGAGGUGCUCAAUUACAUCAGAAAAUUGUUGAUGAAACCAUGAGAAAAUAUUCGCCAUCCAGGCUUUUGAAGAUGGCAGACACCAGUCUGAAGCGUUGAAGCCCUCUAUGGUCUUGCCAUUACUUCCUGGACCUAUGACAAUUGUUUGGGGACAAGGGGCCAACUAUUGUUUCUAACCAUCAUUUUAAACUCUUACGGAUGUGUGCAAAAACAUUCACUUGCUUGAUGUUCAACUGGUAAUUCAAUAUAGUGAAUUUCUGUUAUUUAAUCA